AUACGAGUUUGAUCAUGGCUCAGAACGAACGCUGGCGGCAUGCCUAACACAUGCAAGUCGAACGAAGCCUUCGGGCUUAGUGGCGCACGGGUGCGUAACGCGUGGGAAUCUGCCCCUUGGUUCGGAACAACAGUUAGAAAUGACUGCUAAUACCGGAUAACGACGAAAGUCCAAAGAUUUAUCGCCGAGGGAUGAGCCCGCGUAAGAUUAGGUAGUUGGUGGGGUAAUGGCCUACCAAGCCGACGAUCUUUAGCUGGUCUGAGAGGAUGAUCAGCCACACUGGGACUGAGACACGGCCCAGACUCCUACGGGAGGCAGCAGUGGGGAAUAUUGGACAAUGGGCGAAAGCCUGAUCCAGCAAUGCCGCGUGAGUGAUGAAGGCCUUAGGGUUGUAAAGCUCUUUUACCAGGGAUGAUAAUGACAGUACCUGGAGAAUAAGCUCCGGCUAACUCCGUG
rnacentral:rRNA from 1 species